CGCACAUUGCGCCCUUUGGUAUUCCUUAGGGCAUGCCUGUUCGAGCGUCAUUUAAACCCUCAAGCUCAGCUUGGUGUUGGGCGCCUGUCCCCCCCAGUGGGGGGACUCGCCUCAAAUGCAUUGGCAGCCGUUACGUUGGCUUCGAGCGCAGCAGAAAAGCGCCUGGCGUCUGACGGUAGCGGCUCUCCAGCAAGCCACCCCCCCAAUUUUGACCUCGGAUCAGGUAGGGAUACCCGCUGAACUUAA
rnacentral:misc_RNA from 1 species